CCUACGGGUGGCAGCAGUGAGGAAUAUUGGUCAAUGGACGCAAGUCUGAACCAGCCAUGCCGCGUGCAGGAAGACGGCUCUAUGAGUUGUAAACUGCUUUUGUACGAGGGUAAACGCAGAUACGCGUAUCUGUCUGAAAGUAUCGUACGAAUAAGGAUCGGCUAACUCCGUGCCAGCAGCCGCGGUAAUACGGAGGAUUCAAGCGUUAUCCGGAUUUAUUGGGUUUAAAGGGUGCGUAGGCGGUCGGAUAAGUUAGAGGUGAAAUCCCGGGGCUCAACUGUGGAAUUGCCUUUGAUACUGGUAGGCUAGAGAAUAGUAGAGGUAGGCGGAAUGUAUGGUGUAGCGGUGAAAUGCUUAGAGAUCAUGCAGAACACCGAUUGCGAAGGCAGCUUACCGGGCUACUUCUGACGUUGAGGCACGAAAGCGUGGGGAGCAAACAGGAUUAGAUACCCUUGUAGUC
rnacentral:rRNA from 1 species